GAGCAUCCUGGUGGGAAAGAAGUCUUAACAGAAGAAGUCUUAAAGGAAGAAGCUGGAGGUGACGCUACUGCAAACUUUGAGGAUGUUGGGCACUCUACAGAUGCUAGGGAAUUGUCCAAAACAUAUAUCAUUGAGGAGUUCCAUCCAGAUGAUAAACUUAAGUUAAGCAAGCUUUCAGAAACUUUUAUCGCUACUGUUGUUUCUAGUUCCAGCUGGUGGACCAACUGGGUGAUCCCUGCCAUCUCAACAGUGGCCGUUGCCUUGAUGUAUUGCCUGUACAUGGCAGAAGACUAAACAACUCCUCAGAAGCCAGUGCAGGAAAAGCCUGCUUUGGACACAGGAGAAAAGAAGCCAAUGCUAACUACUUCAACAGACAGAAACCUUCACUUGAAAAAAUAG
rnacentral:lncRNA from 1 species